GGGUCGUUAGCUCAGUCGGUAGAGCAGCGGACUUUAAUCCGUUGGUCGCGUGUUCGAGUCACGCACGACCCACCA
rnacentral:tRNA from 2 species